rnacentral:rRNA from 1 species
AGCAUAUCAAUAAGCGGAGGAAAAGAAACCAACAGGGAUUGCCCUAGUAACGGCGAGUGAAGCGGCAACAGCUCAAAUUUGAAAUCUGGCCUCGGCCCGAGUUGUAAUUUGCAGAGGAAGCUUCUGGUGCGGCGCUGUCCGAGUCCCCUGGAACGGGGCGCCAUAGAGGGUGAGAGCCCCGUAUGGAUAGAUGCCUAGCCUGUGUGAAGCUCCUUCGACGAGUCGAGUAGUUUGGGAAUGCUGCUCAAAAUGGGAGGUAAAUUCCUUCUAAAGCUAAAUAUUGGCCAGAGACCGAUAGCGCACAAGUAGAGUGAUCGAAAGAUGAAAAGCACUUUGAAAAGAGGGUUAAAUAGCACGUGAAAUUGUUGAAAGGGAAGCGCUUGUGACCAGACUUGCGCCAGGCUGAUCAUCCGGUGUUCUCACCGGUGCACUCUGCCUGGCUCAGGCCAGCAUCGGUUUCAGUGGGGGGAUAAAGGCCUAGGGAANGUAGCUCCUCCGGGAGUGUCAUAGCCCUGGGUGCAAUGCCCCCGCCGGGACCGAGGUUCGCGCAUCUGCUAGGAUGC